UACGUAGGUGGCGAGCGUUGUCCGGAUUUACUGGGCGUAAAGCGCGCGUAGGCGGCUUUCUAAGUCCUGUCGUGAAAGGUCGCGGCCCAACUGCGACAGUGCGCGGGAUACUGGGGAGCUUGAGGCAGCAGAGGCCGGUGGAAUUCCCGGUGGAGUGGUGAAAUGCGUAGAUAUCGGGAGGAACACCAGAGGCGAAGGCGGCCGGCUGGGCUGUACCUGACGCUGAGGCGCGAAAGCGUGGGGAGCGAACAGG
rnacentral:rRNA from 1 species